rnacentral:rRNA from 1 species
GAUGAACGCUAGCUACAGGCUUAACACAUGCAAGUCGAGGGGUAACGAGAGGAAAGCUUGCUUUCCUUGUCGACGACCGGCGCACGGGUGAGUAACGCGUAUCCAACCUGCCCCCAACUAAGGAAUAACCUUGCGAAAGUAAGACUAAUACCUUAUAAUUUCCUCAGAUGACAUCUGACGAGGAAUAAAGAUUUAUCGGUUGUGGAUGGGGAUGCGUCUGAUUAGCUUGUUGGCGGGGUAACGGCCCACCAAGGCAACGAUCAGUAGGGGUUCUGGGAGGAAGGUCCCCCACAUUGGAACUGAGACACGGUCCAAACUCCUACGGGAGGCAGCAGUGAGGAAUAUUGGUCAAUGGGCGGAAGCCUGAACCAGCCAAGUAGCGUGCAGGAUGACGGCCCUAUGGGUUGUAAACUGCCUUUAUACAGGAAUAAAGUUAGCCACGUGUGGUUAUUUGUAGGUACUGUAUGAAUAAGGACCGGCUAAUUCCGUGCCAGCCGCCGCAGUAA